GUGCAGUCUCCGAUAACGCGAUAGUCUUUUCUUAGAGUUUCAGAAGGGAAAUGUGUUUAAAAAGGAGUAAUUUUAUUAAAGCCAAUUUAACGUUAAUACCGUGAUGAUUUUGUUUUAAGAUCGAGAAUCUGUUUUUUGUUUUGUUCUGUCAAAAAGUGUAGCAUUGUACUUGCAAUCGAAUGAUUUAAUUUACAUCCUCACAGCAGAUUUUUCAAGAAAACACACAAAAAAAUUUUCGUUACAUUUAAUUUGUGAAAGCUUAAAACAGUUAGGGAUGAGUUCGAAAGUUCGAAUAUGACCGGUCGAUUGUGAUAAAAGCGCCUGCGCUGUCGUCAGUAUCGUAAUCGUCUCUGCUGAGUGUGUCCUGCGACUUGCGAGACUGCGACCAGUCGCCGUCAGCAUCGCAACCGACCGUCGUUGUACGCGCGUCCGACGCGAGGAGGGACUUCGCAACUUUGCAGCUGCGAUGAAAACAACUUAGCCGACCCACGUGUGACAGAGUGCGAACCGCGAGCCAUGGGCCUCAGAAUCGGCUUCGUCCUCUUCACCGGCGUCUUCUUGCUCUUCUUCUCCGCCGGACUAUACAACUUCUUAACAGACUACGAGGAGAACCGAUGCAACAUGACAUACAUGUACAUGUACCCACAACUGAUCAGGAUCUCCCUCCCGGUCAAUGUCACAGCCGCUUACAAAAAAUACGGCCUGUAUGCCUACUCAGAAGGAAAGUUCAUCGAGAAGACCAGGGAGAUGAAAUUCACCGGCAUACCCGUCCUCUUCAUACCAGGAAACCGUGGUUCUCCUAAACAAGUUCGCUCACUUGCAUCAGUCAGCCUGAGAAAAUCACUUGCCACAAGAAGCCCAUUCCAUUUUGACUAUUUUGCGAUUGACCUCAACGAAGACCUCAACGCACUGUUCGGAGGAUUUCUUGAAGAACAAACCAAAUUUGUCAAAAUCUGCAUGAGCAGGAUUCUUUCACUAUACCGAGAAGAGAGCCAGCCUUCUUCAAUCGUCCUUAUCGGCCAUUCUAUUGGAGGAGUUAUCGCAAAAGGACUCUUCCUUGAGCCAGGUUUCGAUCCGUCACUAGUCAAGAUCAUAAUUACUUUAGCAACACCGCACAUGCCAGCAAUCCUACCUGACCUCUACCUGGCACAAUACUAUGAAAAAGUGAACAACUACUGGGAUAACAGUCCACAUUUGAAAGAAAAAAUAAACUUUUUGUCGAUUGGUGGUGGCCCCAGGGAUCUACUCGUACGGACAAACUUGACUGUUACACCUCACGCUGAUAUCAGUGUUGUUACAUCUUUGAUACCUGAAGUGUGGCUCUCAGUUGACCAUCUUUGUAUUUUGUGGUGUCGGGAACUGAUUAUUGUAAUUGUCAGGUCUCUUUUUGACAGUGUAGACCUUAAAACUAAACAAAUCACAGAUGAUGUUGCCCUCAGGAAAGAUAUUUUUGAGUAUCACUUUUUAGAAAGAAGUGGUUCCAAGAGGUUUCAUUCAGCCCGAUACCCAUCAGAAGUGAUUUUAUACAACAAUAAAAUGCAGCACAGUUGGAUUCCGAUGGUCGGGAGUCACAUGACAUGGUUUGAAAAGUACGUCGAUAAAACGACUCACAUAACUGUAUCCCUCGCAACCGCCGCUGACACUUUGGCAGUUUUGACAGAAAACCAUGAAAACCGCGAUUGGAUAUUUGCUUGCGUUGUUGAUACCACUGUAAACCGCAUGAGGAUUUGCAAAACGGCGACCAAUUUGUCAGGGAAAGCUAAAAUAUCACUGACCUCAAAGAAGAAAAGAAAAUCAGCACUGAUUGAUCUUUCACAUUUACGAAUGACAGGCUAUUCGCAUGUAGUCAUUAGAACACUUCCAAAUAGUGAAGAAGUCAAAAUCUCUUUGGACUUGUUCAAAAAACGGGCUCGUACGAUCGAAGGGUCUAUGGAUUAUCUUCCAAGCACUGUCGUCCUAGAAGAGAACAGCUGGGGAGCGCUUUAUUACGCCGUUGAGAUGUCGAGCCUGCAGAAAAUCUGGCAGACGUACGUAUUCAGCAUCAGUUCGAAAAACUGCACUUCUCCAGAUCUCGCCGAAGUCUACGUCAACGUCCCUUGGAACCACGAAGGCUCAAAGCUUCUAAUUAACGGAUCAAGCGGUUUGGUACCAGUUUUCUUGCAUUCUUCAAAACCAGUAGGGAAAGAUGUUGGAAAUGUAAAAGUCGAAUUCUUUCUCAAUCAUCAAUGUGCUUACAGAAUAAAGUUGAGCAGAACGUUCCUACCUGGAAUAAGCGCUGUAAUUUCAAAACAGGGCAUUUCCGUGUUCACUUAUGUGUCUGUCUGUCUCCUCCUAACGCUUGCUUACCAGAUCAAAUCUAUGAAGGAAAAUCUCAGCUGUCCGCUUUUGCAUACGGCGAUGCCUUUGGCGGGCAAGCCUUACAUCGUGAUGCAAGCCUCCGCCAUAACGACGGCGAUAGCACAGCACUUUGCGAACUACAUUCCGUUCAUCCCAUCAAUCGACACGAGAAACAACAGCGGGAUGAUAGAAAUGCUUGUCAUUCCUGUCGCUCUGUAUUUGGUCGCUUUUUGUUUAACUUACAUUGUCGGGUUAGGAUUGAUUGUUGGUAUCGUGUUUCAAGGGCAAGCUUACAACGGGAUUAUUUUAAAGUUUUUGAGUAAGUUUUUCUUUGGUUUGGCUUGGCUGUCUGAGUACGCACUGAGCGGAGCGAUCAAAGUGCCGCUUGUUGUGUCCGCUUUUAUGAUGACUGUCGCUUAUACAGCUUGUGGGGGUUUGGCGGUUUGCAUCGGCUUGGGAUUCUAUUGCUUUAAGAUGAUAACUCUGUACGAGGACUUUUGGGAGGAGAUCGUCUACUGGCCGCUCAGGGCUCUUAAAGCCAAACUUAAACAGAGGAAGGACAAGUCGGUUGAAAUUCCAACGUUCCAGAUCCCUUCUAUAGACGACAUCAGCUUUCAUUUGACGCUACUGAUGCUCUGGACACAAGUUGCUAUUAUAAACGUACCCAGCGUGCUCGUCUGGGCUAAAAACUACAGAUACAGUUCGAAACUCGAUCCAGAUCCUGGGUACAUAAAUUGUGUUAUUUUGACAAUAUGUGCAGGUGUUCUAUGGCAGUCUGAAUUCCCAAGGACAGGACUGGCUGGGAGCAAAACCGUGAGUCACUUUGUAUUCACAUCGGCAGUACUCGUCAUGAUUUUUGCCCAAACAUCAUUAUACCGAUUAUCAACGAUAAUAACAGUUAACAUAGCUCUAGUCACACUCCAUCAGAUUAUUGCACCUUGGUUCACCAAAGAAAUCAAUGAAGAGGACGAGCCUCCUGAGCUUGUGGGCGUACCGGAAGAAGGCGUUGAACUCAAGUCUCAGCUGGCUGAGAUUUUCCAGGGAACAGAUCUCGCCAGUAAUAUUGAUGCUCCUUCUUCCCUUGUCUCAGAGAUCAAAGAAUCCAAGGAAGAUGGACAGAAAAAUGAAGACACCGGAGAGAAAGACGGCGAAAUAACCCCUUCGAGUGACACUUCGACAUCUUCCUUUGAACAAAUAUCCGAAAAGGAGGUUUAAUAAAGUUGUAAAUACCGUUUAAUUCUAGUCAAUCGAAUCUUCAAAAUACGUGAAGUGAGAAAUGAGAAAACAAAGGAUUUCUGUGAUAGCAAAAUAAAUACCAUUGACAAAACACUAAAAAUGAUGAAAUUUAUUGGUUGAGCAAACAAGAUAAAAUUAUAAUAAAACUCAAUCUACAUGCUCGACGGUCCAGAUUUCAACGUAGAAAUAUAUAUACAAGUGAAUUUUUUUUUUCCGGUGUUUUGGACGGGUACAAUUUUUUAAAAUUUAUUUUGGAUACUCAUAAAUUUAUUAUGCUCCUGUACUAUGUGACUUUUGAAGCCUUUUUAUAAUAAACUUUUAAAAAGAAAA